rnacentral:rRNA from 1 species
AUGUUAAUAGCGUUCUUGCUUGACUAAGGCUCCGGAGGAAGCCACGGCUAACUCUGUGCCAGCAGCCGCGGUAAUACAGAGGCGGCAAGCGUUGUUCGGAAUUAUUGGGCGUAAAGAGCACGUAGGCGGCUGUGUAAGUCGGUUGUGAAAGCCUUCCGCUUAACGGAAGAACGGCAUCCGAUACUGCAUAGCUUGAGUGCGGGAGGGGAGAGUGGAACUUCUGGUGGAGCGGUGAAAUGCGUAGAUAUCAGAAGGAACACCGGCGGCGAAGGCGACUCUCUGGUCCGUAACUGACGCUGAGUGUGCGAAAGCUAGGGGAGCAAACGGGAUUAGAUACCCCGGUAGUCCUAGCCGUAAACGAUGGGCACUAAGUAGAGGGA